rnacentral:lncRNA from 10 species
CAGCAGGCAAUGACAGAGGCAGGAGAGGGGAAAAAAAAAAAGAAAGAAAGAAAAAACACAGCAAAUGAAUCAAACGGACCAGGUAGCAGGCAAGAGUGUGGUUAUCGUUGGACCAGGAUUCAGGAUCUGACUGAGUAGCUGACUCUUAAUCCAGUUUGUGUUGAUCACCAGGAGGAUCUGGACCUCAGUAUUACCACAUCUAGAGCUAUAAUCACAUCCCUGUUAAGCCUUCCUGAGAUCACACCAAAUGUCCUUGAUGGGAAUUGUAAACAACCCUUACUUCUGGUUUCUAAUGAUAUUCCAGGAAAGGAGCCUAACUAGAGUCAGUGAUAUGCCAACUCCACCUUUGCCUUCCACCAUGUUUGGAAGCUCCCUGAGGCCUCACCAGGAGCAGAUGCUCGUCCCAUGCUUCCUAUAAGCCUGCAGAACUAGACAAAGUUUUCCUGUGUUACCCAGGCUGGAGUGCAGUAGUGUGAUCAUAUCUUACUGCAAUCUUGAGCCUCAUG